UACGAAGGGGGCGAGCGUUGUUCGGAAUUACUGGGCGUAAAGCGUGCGCAGGCGGUUGUGUAAGACAGAUGUGAAAUCCCCGGGCUCAACCUGGGAACUGCAUUUGUGACUGCACGGCUGGAGUGCGGCAGAGGGGGAUGGAAUUCCGCGUGUAGCAGUGAAAUGCGUAGAUAUGCGGAGGAACACCGAUGGCGAAGGCAAUCCCCUGGGCCUGCACUGACGCUCAUGCACGAAAGCGUGGGGAGCAAACAGG
rnacentral:rRNA from 1 species